AUCUUCCGCAAUGGACGAAAGUCUGACGGAGCAACGCCGCGUGAGUGAUGAAGGUUUUNGGAUCGNANAACUCUGUUGUGAGGGANGCACAAGUAUCGGAGUCACUGCCGGUACCUUGACGGUACCUGACGAGAAAGCCACGGCUAACUACGUUCCAGCAGCCGCGGUAAUACGUAGGUGUCAAGCGUUUGCCGGAUUUUUUGGGCGUAAAGCGCGCACAGGCGUUCUUUUAAGUCUGAUGUGAGAUCCUACAGCUAAACUGUAAGCGGUCAUUGGAAACUGGGGGUAUUGAGUGCAGAAGAGGAGAGGAGAAUCCCAUGUGUAGCGGUGAAAUGCAUAGAGAUAAGGAGGAACAACAGUCGCGAAGGCGACUCUCUGGUCUGUAACUGACGCUGAGGCGCGAAAGCGUGGGGAUAAAACA
rnacentral:rRNA from 1 species